CAAUUGCCAAUCUUAACCCAGAAUGCUCUUAUGAAGAAGAAUGCAAAGUUCUAGUUGAUGAAGAGCAAAAAGUUCUAUGUAGCUGUGGUCAAUUUGAAAGAGUUGGUAUAUUGUGUAGUCAUGCUUUGAAAACCCUUGAUGUCAUGAAUAUUAAGUAUCUUACAAGCCACUAUAUUUUGAAGCGAUGGACUCGAGAAGCACGAAGCGGCACUAUUCAAAACAGCCAUGGCAACAUUGUUUUGGAAGACCCUAGAUCGGAAGAUAGGCAGCAGCUUAAGUUUUUCAUGCAUGAGUUCCUUGGCAUAGCUUUCCAAGCAGUUGCAUCACAAGAUUGCAUAAAAUUAGUAGAUGAUGCUUUGAAGAAUCUAAAGAAGCAAGUUGAAGACAAAGCUCCUACUACUACAUGCAGAACUGAAGCUAUAUCUCAGGAACAAGACAUUUGUUUGCAAACAGCUUGUCUGAAGAAAAAGGAAAUUCAGCAGAAGACUUCAAAAAGGAAGAAAUCAUGGCUUGAUAAUCAACAUCCCAGUAAAAAGAAAAAAGGGGCAGCUAAAGUCAUUCCCGAAAAACAAUCUUCUUUUGUAAAUCUCUUAUCACUUAUCAAAAAAGCCUAUAGAUUUACUAAUAACUCAACUAAUGUUUAUUCUGAUUUAUUUUUUGCAUAGACAGGAGAGAAGUACAUUCCAGUUGCACAAUGCAAAGUACCUAUAGAGGAAAUGACUGGAACAAAUGCAGAUGGUUUGCAGGAAUAUGGGUACUAUGCUCGUUUACUAACGGAUUUUCAGAUGAUCAGUGAGAUACAGUAGGGUCGCGAGUCUUCACUCAACAUGUUCUCUAGUGGGCAUUGAUGGCCUCAUCGUUUAUUAUGCCACCUUUCCGCUGUUAUUAUUGAAUAAGUUAGCCAUGUGCUAUUCAGUUUGUAAUACUUUAUAAAUUCUGGAUCAUACGUUGUAGUAAAUGAUGCACUUGUUA